rnacentral:rRNA from 1 species
GACGAACGCUGGCGGCGUGCUUAACACAUGCAAGUCGAACGGUGAAGGGACUGGUUUUGCUGGUCCUGGAUGAGUGGCGAACGGGUGAGUAACACGUGAGUAACCUGCCCCCUUCUUCUGGAUAACCGCAUGAAAGUGUGGCUAAUACGGGAUAUUCUGGGUCUGUCGCAUGGUGGGCCUGGGAAAGAUUGCGCCUUUUUUGGUGUUUUUGGUGGGGGAUGGGCUCGCGGCCUAUCAGCUUGUUGGUGGGGUGAUGGCCUACCAAGGCGGUGACGGGUAGCCGGCCUGAGAGGGUGGACGGUCACACUGGGACUGAGACACGGCCCAGACUCCUACGGGAGGCAGCAGUGGGGAAUAUUGCACAAUGGGCGCAAGCCUGAUGCAGCGACGCCGCGUGAGGGAUGGAGGCCGUCGGGUUGUGAACCUCUUUCGCCAGUGAAGCAGGCCUGCCUCUUUGUGUGGGUGGGUUGACGGUAGCUGGAUAAGAAGCGCCGGCUAACUACGUG